UGCCAGCCGCCGCGGUAAUACGUAGGUGGCAAGCGUUGUCCGGAUUUACUGGGCGUAAAGAGCGCGCAGGCGGCCAAGUAAGUCGAAUGUGAAAGCCCCCGGCUCAACUGGGGAAGGUCAUUCGAUACUGCCUGGUUUGAAGAUAGGAGAGGGAAGCGGAAUUUCCGGUGUAGUGGUGAAAUGCGUAGAUAUCGGAAGGAACACCAGUGGCGAAGGCGGCUUUCUGGACCAAUACUGACGCUGAGGUGCGAAAGCGUGGGGAGCAAACAGGAUUAGAUA
rnacentral:rRNA from 1 species